UUCGGAGGGUGCAAACGUUGUUCGGAUUCAUUGGGCUUAAAGGGCACGUAGGCGGCCGACUAAGUCGGGUGUGAAAGCCCUCGGCUCAACCGAGGAAUGGCACUCGAAACUGGUCGGCUCGAGUGGAGAAGGGGAGAGCGGAACUUCUGGUGGAGCGGUGAAAUGCGUAGAUAUCAGAAGGAACGCCGGUGGCGAAAGCGGCUCUCUGGUCUCCUACUGACGCUGAGGUGCGAAAGCCAGGGGAGCAAACGGG
rnacentral:rRNA from 1 species